rnacentral:rRNA from 1 species
GUGGGGAAUUUUGGACAAUGGGCGCAAGCCUGAUCCAGCCAUUCCGCGUGCAGGAUGAAGGCCUUCGGGUUGUAAACUGCUUUUGUACGGAACGAAAAGCCUCUGGUUAAUACCCGGGGGUCAUGACGGUACCGUAAGAAUAAGCACCGGCUAACUACGUGCCAGCAGCCGCGGUAAUACGUAGGGUGCGAGCGUUAAUCGGAAUUACUGGGCGUAAAGCGUGCGCAGGCGGUGAUGUAAGACAGUUGUGAAAUCCCCGGGCUCAACCUGGGAAGUGCAUCUGUGACUGCAUUGCUGGAGUGCGGCAGAGGGGGAUGGAAUUCCGCGUGUAGCAGUGAAAUGCGUAGAUAUGCGGAGGAACACCGAUGGCGAAGGCAAUCCCCUGGGCCUGCACUGACGCUCAUGCACGAAAGCGUGGGGAGCAAACAGGAUUAGAUACCCUGGUAGUCC